UCGUGACCCUUAAAACAAAACAAACCGUGAACAUGUCAUCCUGCCGUCGGGCUCCGGCCCGACAAAGGCCCCCGACCUUCUUUCGGAGGGGAUGGACCGCAAAGAACCCACGGCGCCGAAGGCGUCAAGGAAUACUUAUUUUGCCUUGCACGGGGUCGUGGUUGGCUUGCCUUCAGCGUCCUCGUGCAGCGAUUCUAUCUUAAUCCACACGACUCUCGGCAACGGAUAUCUCGGCUCUCGCAUCGAUGAAGAACGUAGCAAAAUGCGAUACCUGGUGUGAAUUGCAGAAUCCCACGAACCAUCGAGUUUUUGAACGCAAGUUGCGCCCGAGGCCUUCUGGUCGAGGGCACGCCUGCGUGGGCGUCACGCGAAAAGACAAUCCCAAACCUUCUAUGGGGCGGGAUGUGGUGUUUGGCUUCCCGUGCCUCGCGGUGCGGUGGGCCGAAGUUGGGUCUGCCGGCAUAGCGUGCCGGGCACCGCACAUGGUGGGCGACAUCUAGUUGUUCUCGGUGCAGUGUCCCAGUACAUAGCUAGCUUCUUGGCCCUGAGGACCCAUUGACCGUACCGCUUUGUCGCUCGGACCGCGACCC
rnacentral:misc_RNA from 1 species